CAAUAAAGGAAGCACCGAAGCAAAGCCUUUACAAAAGCUGCGCUGCAACUUCCACCCAGCAGUUAGUUCCUCAUAAUUCUCUGUGCAGUGACAAAACUCCUUUGCGGUCAAUAAUUACAGUGAGCAACUGGCAAGGGCUCUCUACUUUUUGAGAUGCAAGGAUCCCCUUGGAAAGGGCCAGCUCAUUUCUGUCAUAGUCAACAAAUGAGUGAAAGCUAAGGAGACCUGUUCUUCUAUGGCAAAGAACCCAGAGAGCCCACAACAGCUCAGAAUGGUUUUGACAUUACCAAUUCCUAUCAAAAUCUCUGCAUUUGUCUUGUGAAUCUUGUGCUGUUUUCACACCUCAAGUGCUCAUAGUGUGACACCCUUAAAAGGAUCUCACCGCACCCUGGUUAAAAAAAAAAAUCAAAAAAAAAAAUCACUGAAGUAAGGCAACAAACCCAAGAAAUAAAGCUUAUCUCCUUAUCUCCUCACACUUUGGGGGACCUCUUCAAAAGAUCUGGCGGCAUCCCAGUGUGCCCUGGCACCCUGGUGGAGAAUCACUGCUGCAGGGAGACUGCGUGAAGAACAGGAUUUCAACCCAGGCCCCUGAGAUAUUUCAGCAGGACACCCUGAAGCAUCCAGAUUGCUGCCAGGGCACAGUCACUGGAGCGGGUUAGCUGUUAGGACUCUCCAGCUGCCCUGCAGCCCUUAACAAUGAGCAUCACACUUUGUUCCUGCAGACUGAGGACCGCGCAGAGGGUGGGAGGUGAGUGGUACGCCCAGCUGCCCCUAAACAGCCUCUCAGCUCCUCCGUGGAUUAAUGGGUCUGCUUUCGCCAGCAGGUGUCGCCCUUGUCCCAAGGAAGUUGCAUCAGUAUCAGGACGCCUAGAGAUCGAGCUAAGAACAAAAGCCGUUAAAAAUACCCCAGCGAUUCAUUUCUGAUGUCCAAGAGCAACUGAGGCUUGUUUCAUGUCCCAGCUGGGUGCUGUUCUUGUGCAAGCUACAUGUACAUUUGAUGGAGGGCAAGAGGCCACACAGAAAACUCUACCCUACUUUCCCCCCUCUCCUCCACCCAUCUCCACACCGCCAACCUCUCCACACCCCCAAGGACCAGGCCCUGCCCAGGGAGGGGACUGCCCUGAUUAAAGCCAGCAGUACAAGCCCAGCUGUCCCCAGUGGAGAUAACCACUGCCUGAAAGGAGGUUUCCAAGGUGGCACCUUGCCCAGCCUGUUACAUGACCUGGGAGCAAUGCAGCGCAUCAUCUCUCUGCCGCCUGCUUGGAGAAGGCCCCAGGUUCAGCCCCGUGAAAUGGGUUGCGAUGGACUUACUUACACAAGGAGCUUGCCCAGAGCAGAGGGGAGCAGAUGAUCACACCUCAGGGACUCCAGCAUCCCUCCAGCAGUGAUUUUACAGCCCAGCUCUGAGAUCCCAGACCAUCGAGCCUUCAUUACUUCUCCAAAGUACCAUGCUACAUAGUGGAUCAAGCUAAAUGAAGCCCCAUUCACUGCACAAAGAAACAAAGUACAUUUUGCAAUACAAGGCUCUUGAAUUUUAUUGUUCGCUUUUCUCACUAAUUCGCAAAACGCAUUAAUCUGCAAUGGAAGGCAUUCAUGGAAAUGAGCAAGGCUCUAUCUUAAUAAUUCUUCUGAGUUAUGGACAGUUGAGCAGGGAACACAUGGUACUGGCGGUAUAAGUGUGUGCCGUUUCAAAGUUAUACUGCCGCAUAUUGAGUAAUUGUAUUUUAAUUUGGUGUUUAAUGACUUGAAGCCAUACAGCAAGUUCUACGAUAUCCUUUAAUUGUCAGGGCUUUUAUGCAUCAUAUUAAAUUACAUUUCCUUUUGAGAAAGCUUGGAAGUUUGUUGGCCUACCACAAUACUUCAACCAGUUUUGCUUGCUUGCAAGGGAACAAAAGUUCUCCUCUGAGAAGGCAACUAAGUGAUAUAUAUAUUCUGAGCCCACAUUAACAGAUGAUUAUACGGAAGCUUAUGGUCAGAGGCUCUGAUCAUUUGGGGACUUUGCGCAUACAGCUCACCGCCUCUUUUUGACACAGGGCACCUUCUGUGUCACCCUCUGCUAGACUGCAACCCCAGCUGCCCGUGGGACUGGUGUGUUGUCCUUUUACAUUUGUGUUGGCUGAACUUCCAAGAAAUGGCCUCCAACAACAGAGGACGGGUAAAGAUCUAAUCACAUUGAGCCUUCUCACUUUGGCAAAAGGCUGGCCAUGCCAGUGGGGUAAAUCAGACUGCUGGGAGUGCCACACUUCCAGAGCUAGCUUGGGGUUGCUCUAUGCUGCCCAGAAGGGAUAAAUUGGUGCGGGGGUAGGCUGGGUUGGGGGCAUAAAUAUGUGCACUGUGCAUGGUGUGGAUCCAGGACCAGCCACUGCAUGCUGCACAUGGGUCAGCACAGACCUAGAGAUAGCACCAGGGGAGAGAUGACAGGGCUCCAUGGGCUGUAUCAUGGACACCCCUGCCUUACACAAGAAUCAUGUGGUGGGAGACUAGUUACCUGGGGUGACCAAUUCCCUGACGCUGAAGCAAGAGAAGAAAGACUAACAGAUGGGGGCUAUGUCCCAGAGCAGAAACAGGAGGGCAGGGAGAGCACGGACUGUGUACUACUUAGGAGCUUCUGACUUCAGCUCAAAGGACACUCAAAAGCCAUGAGAAAACUGAAACAGAGAAAUGCUGGGAGCUUAUCUGUCUACCGCUAUUUCUCAUGCUGGCUGAAAUCAAGACCAAUUGGUUCUUUGAACCCCUUAUAAAGUCUGUUGGCUUCAACUAUCACAUCCCUGAAGAAAUGAACAGGAAAUUCAGGGUGCCUAGAGCACUGAGAAGGGGUGUGAGAGCUAUAGGCCUCAGGGAGGUGGGGUAAGAAAGCGGCUCUACCUUGGAGGUGGUGUCAAAGAGGGCAGGAAGAGCCAGCACCACAGCCCAUCCAACUGUGCCUUCAGAAAGGGCCAAGGGCGCUGGGAGCUGACCACAGUCACGGGUGGGAAACCAGGGCUUGGAGACAGACCCAGCACAAGGAAAUUACAGGAACAAUGCAGGACACUUCUACAGAAAGCAAACCUGUCAAACCAGUACCCGUGCCAAUGCCUUUCUGAAUCUCACGUCAGACCCAGCAGCUCCAGGCAAGGAACAAGCUUCCAUGUGGCCCAGUUUUCAGCAGUGAUAGCAGGGGCUAGGGCUCACUGAUCCACAUGGGCCACUCCAGUCCUGUUAAACGAGACAAUUCCCAAAAGCCUCUCUCGAGCUCAAAAAUGAACACAGCAAUAACAGCCCCAGUUGGUGACAAUUACGGCCUCAUAACAAACAUGCAGACAGUUUCUUGCUCUAGUUCACACUACCCUGCCACCUGCACUGGUCCCAAGGCACAACGCUUUCAGCAUUUCUAAUAUACCCUUCCUAUUAUCAAGGGGUUAAAAUGAGAUGUGAAGUUGAGAAGAAGCUUCAAACUGCUGAAGUUAGCUGCCCCAAACCAAGUUUAGCUCUAAUAAAGUCUCCGAUGCCUGGAAACAGGAAGCCGGGGGUGCUCAGAAGCAGUCAGUCACUGCGAUGGAGAUUCCUUCAACUAUCCUUUUUUUUAGGAAAGUAGGGAGAAGAAAGGUAACAUACUGUUCAGGGAGUGAUUAAAUUGUGUAAUUUCACUAUCUCAAGUGAUGUAAUUUGAUGUAAUCAAAUAAACAAAUUACUCUACGUUAAAGAAGGAGCUUGUUGAGGCUUGUUUCCCUGCAUUUUAGCCUGAUUCUCUUCCCCUGUAAACACCAUACAGAAAUCUCACCGACUAGAUGAAGUUGUUGUAAAGAAAGAAGAAAGAAAAAACAUGAAUAUAUUUGCUUCAAGCACCUAACAGCUUCAACAAACAACCCCCCACCUCCUCAAACACAGCCGCGGAGAAGUUUAGAUAAGUUUGAUAAAGAAGGGAACAGAUUUCAAGGGGUUGUUUCCUUGAUAUAA